GAGUUUGAUCAUGGCUCAGAACGUACGCUGGCGGCACGCCUAACACAUGCAAGUCGAACGAAGUAGUAAUACUUAGUGGCAGACGGGUGACUAACAUGUAGGUAUCUGCCCUUUGGCCUGGAAUAACACGAGGAAACUUGUGCUAAUACCGGAUAAGUCUUUACGGAGAAAGCUUUAUGCACCAUUGGAUGAGCCUGCACUUGAUUAGUUUGUUGGUGGGGUAAUGGCCUACCAAGACUGUGAUCAAUAGCUGAUUUGAGAGGAUGAUCAGCCACAUUGGGACUGAGACACGGCCCAAACUCCUACGGGAGGCAGCAGUGGGGAAUCUUGCACAAUGGAGGAAACUCUGAUGCAGCGAUGCCGCGUGAGUGAAGAAGGCCUUUGGGUUGUAAAGCUCUUUCGUCGGGGAAGAAAAUGACUGUACCCGAAUAAGAAGGUCCGGCUAACUUCGUGCCAGCAGCCGCGGUAAUACGAAGGGACCUAGCGUAGUUCGGAAUUACUGGGCUUAAAGAGUUCGUAGGUGGUUGAAAAAGUUGGUGGUGAAAUCCCAGAGCUUAACUCUGGAACUGCCAUCAAAACUUUUCAGCUAGAGUAUGAUAGAGGAAAGCAGAAUUUCUAGUGUAGAGGUGAAAUUCGUAGAUAUUAGAAAGAAUACCAAUUGCGAAGGCAGCUUUCUGGAUCAUUACUGACACUGAGGAACGAAAGCAUGGGUAGCGAAGAGGAUUAGAUACCCUCGUAGUCCAUGCCGUAAACGAUGUGUGUUAGACGUUGGAAAUUUAUUUUCAGUGUCGCAGCGAAAGCGAUAAACACACCGCCUGGGGAGUACGACCGCAAGGUUAAAACUCAAAUGAAUUGACGGGGACCCGCACAAGUAGUGGAGCAUGUGGUUUAAUUCGAAGAUACGCGCAGAACCUUACCAACACUUGACAUGUUCGUCGCGACUUUAAGAGAUUAAAGUUUUCGGUUCGGCCGGACGAAACACAGGUGCUGCAUGGCUGUCGUCAGCUCGUGUCGUGAGAUGUUGGGUUAAGUCCCGCAACGAGCGCAACCCUCACUUUUAGUUGCCAUCAUUAAGUUGGGCACUCUGAAAGAACUGCCAGUGAUAAGCUGGAGGAAGGUGGGGAUGACGUCAAGUCCUCAUGGCCCUUACGUGUUGGGCUACACACGUGCUACAAUGGUAUCUACAACAGGGAGCAAAACUGCGAAGUUAAGCAAAUCCUUAAAAGAUACCUCAGUUCGGAUUGCACUCUGCAACUCGAGUGCAUGGAGCUGGAAUUACUAGUAAUCGUGGAUCAGCGUGCCACGGUGAAUGCGU
rnacentral:rRNA from 1 species